rnacentral:rRNA from 1 species
AUUGAACGCUGGCGGCAUGCCUUACACAUGCAAGUCGAACGAUGAACCCGGAGCUUGCUCCGGCGGAUUAGUGGCGAACGGGUGAGUAACACGUGAGUAACCUGCCCUUGACUCUGGGAUAACUGCUAGAAAUGGUAGCUAAUACCGGAUACGACCCUCGGUGGCAUCACCAGGGGGUGGAAAGAAUUUCGGUCAAGGAUGGACUCGCGGCCUAUCAGCUAGUUGGUGAGGUAACGGCUCACCAAGGCGACGACGGGUAGCCGGCCUGAGAGGGUGCCCGGCCACACUGGGACUGAGACACGGCCCAGACUCCUACGGGAGGCAGCAGUGGGGAAUAUUGCACAAUGGGCGCAAGCCUGAUGCAGCAACGCCGCGUGAGGGAUGACGGCCUUCGGGUUGUAAACCUCUUUUAGCAGGGAAGAAGCGAAAGUGACGGUACCUGCAGAAAAAGCACCGGCUAACUACGUGCCAGCCGCCGCGGUAA